UUGUUGGAGAGUUUGAUCCUGGCUCAGGACGAACGCUGGCGGCGUGCUUCACACAUGCAAGUCGAACGGA
rnacentral:rRNA from 1 species